rnacentral:rRNA from 1 species
GUCCAUGCCCUAAACGAUGUACACUUGAUGUCGGUCUUUAACGGGUCGAUGUCGGAGCUAACGUGUUAAGUGUACCACCUGGGGAGUACGCUCGCAAGGGUGAAACUCAAAGGAAUUGACGGGGGCCCGCACAAGCAGUGGAGCAUGUGGUUUAAUUCGAUGCAACGCGAAGAACCUUACCUAGGCUUGAAAGGCAGUCUAAACCGUUGAAAGACGGGUACCCGCAAGGGGGGCUGUACAGGUGCUGCAUGGCUGUCGU